rnacentral:ncRNA from 1 species
CGUGUCGCUGUCAGGAUGCGGGGUGAAAAGGGAAGCAGGUGAGAAUCCUGCGCUAUGCCGUAGCUGUGUAUGGGGGAAGCGGUUCCCACGAUGUCACUGGAGCGUUCCGCUCCGGGAAGACGGGAAUUGUGUUGAAGCCCGAGCCAGAAGACCUGCCUGAGUAU